UCUACGGGUGGCAGCAGUGGGGAAUAUUGGGCAAUGGGCGCAAGCCUGACCCAGCAACGCCGCGUGAAGGAAGAAGGCUUUCGGGUUGUAAACUUCUUUUGUCAGGGAAGAGUAGAAGACGGUACCUGACGAAUAAGCCACGGCUAACUACGUGCCAGCAGCCGCGGUAAUACGUAGGUGGCAAGCGUUGUCCGGAUUUACUGGGUGUCAAGGGCGUGUAGCCGGGUUGACAAGUCAGAUGUGAAAUCCUGUGGCUUAACCGCAGAACUGCAUUUGAAACUGUUGAUCUUGAGUACUGGAGAGGCAGACGGAAUUCCUGGUGUAGCGGUGAAAUGCGUAGAUAUUAGGAGGAACACCAGUGGCGAAGGCGGUCUGCUGGACAGCAACUGACGGUGAGGCGCGAAAGCGUGGGGAGCAAACAGGAUUAGAUACCCCUGUAGUC
rnacentral:rRNA from 1 species